rnacentral:rRNA from 1 species
UUAAGUGACGAUAGCCUAGGAGAUACACCUGUACCCAUGCCGAACACAGAAGUUAAGCCCUAGAACGCCGGAAGUAGUUGGGGGUUGCCCCCUGUGAGAUAGGGAAGUCGCU